rnacentral:lncRNA from 1 species
GGGGAGUCAACUCUUAAUUAAUUAACAGUUAAACUCGGUUGAUUUUUCCUCUAUCAAAAUCAGUCACUCACGCAGAAUUCAAUUGGCUUUUCGUCUUCAUCUUUCACGUUCAUUUUCGAGAAAAUCUAAAGUCGAGAAGCAAAGGUUAGCAUAUUAAAUCAGGUUCUCAGAUUACAAACCCUCACACCAGGUUCGUUUUAGUUGUUUUUAGUUGUAUAUCCAUCAUGUUAUCAACUUUGUUUUUUCUCUAAUUUUGUUGUAUUCCCAUGAAUUUGAAAAACACAAUCGUGUCUUCAUCUCUUUUUUAAUAGAAAGAGACAAUAAAUCUUCUACCGAAUUAUUUAUAUCUGUAUUAUUUUGGAGCAAUGUCAAGCAUGAAGCCAGUAUUGUUUGCAAACCAUUAAAUAUUGCCUUCAUUGGCGGUGUAAAUAAAUAUGGGUGGUCCUUGGUGUAAGUACUUGUUGUUAAUGAGGUACUUUUGGUUCAAGGGUUUGUUCAAAAUGAAUUAGAUCUCUGAUUGGGGAGGGUUUCUUCAUGAAUUUGUACAAAAAUGAAUUAGGUAUGUGAUUUGGGGUUUUUUAUUCGUGAAAAUUGGGUAUGUGAAUAGGGUUUUUUUCAUGAAUUUAUUCAAAAAAAUGAAUUGGGUAUGUGAUUUGGGGUUUUUUGUUCUUGAAUUUGUUUAAAAAUGAAUGGGUAUGUGAUUUGGGGUUUUUUCUUCAUGAAAAUUGGGUACAACUUCCCAUAUGUGUUUCCCCUGCAAUAAUUUUCCACAUUUUGGUUGCUUAUUAUAAAUUGAAUUGUUUUACUUGAGAUGCAUGUGUUAUUUCUAAUUGGCAAAUUAUUCUGACAAGGAGAUAUUUCAAAUUAACUAUAAUGAAUUUAAUUCAAUUUCCUUUCAAAUGUUGUGAUUCUUUCGUGUGUUAUGCAAGUUCUAAUUGGAGGGGUGUUACAGACUGAUUGAUGUACUCAUGAGUAAUUGUUGAAGCUGAUCAAUGCCAAGAACAUUAUGGAUAUAAUACUCGAGAAUUUCUGAAUAUUAUUAAUAAAUAUAUUAAUAAAAAUCGAGUAUUUAUUUGAGUAUAAUUGCAUAUUGUUGUGACAAGAGUUAUAGUACUUCUAUUCACUUAAAUUAAGUGUUGAGAAAUAUAUGACAGUAAGGUAAUGUAGUAACAUUGGUGAAGAGUUUAAUAUAAAGCUUGUGAGAAUUGCCUAGUGCGGCAUAAUAAAGGACUAAGAAAUUCAUUAAGUGAAUUAAGAGAGAGACUAUUUAAUAAGAGAAAGAUUAAUUAUGUGUAAUUAUAUAUAAUGGAAUGAUUAUAUAACUCCAUGCAUGAAAUAAAUAAGAUUUUUAGCUAGUAGUAUUAUCAAUUUGGGAUUUAAGUCAUGUUAUGUGAAACUGGUAUAAUGGUAGAGGUCGGGACUGACAUGAAGCUAAACCAGUUGAGCACUGCCAGGGACCGGCGCAGCUGCGCCCUUCCUGCAGUACAAACUGGCGCAGCUGCGCCAGUGGCCAGAGUUUGAAAGUUUUUUAUUACUGUAGAAAUUAUAUACAACAUUAUUGUAAUGUGUGACAUUAUUAAAAUCAUAUGAUAAGAGUACAUUUAAUGGUAUGAGGUACCAAGUAGCAUAAUAAAAUUUUGUGACAUUUUAAUACAUAAACAAUUAAUUAACUGUGUAUCUCAGAAAUUCAGAAAAGAAUUAAAUGUUUUAAUUUUUAAAAUAGACAUUUAAUAUUGGAUAGUGUUAUAAUAUUGAUGUAUGUGCACUAAUAAUAUCUAUGGAGAAUACCCGGUCAAUAAUACCUAACUGCAUUAUUUUAUCUGCAUUAAAUAUUAAAUUAUAUGAACCCAAUGUACAUGGAUUAUAUGAUAUGGGUACCUAUAUAAUCCCUAACUUUUCAUUAUGUAGUAACAUUUGUACAUUAGAAUCACAUGAGGGAACAAAAAGGGAAUUAAAUUAACCACAAUUGAACCAAAUGCUGAGGAUUUAAAAGCUUUGUUCCGUUUCAGUUACCAAACAGUAACCUAUAUCUACUUUAUGUAAAAUGCAAAGCUAAGCAUAGUGACUACAACCUACGUGAUGAUGGCUGGAGAUGGCUGAGGAAAUGGUGGUUGACCAACUCUUAUAUAACCAUUCUUUUCUUCUUCUACCCAUUGGAUUCCAAACUUAAUGCAAAACCAUUAACCAGACAACCAUUUCUCUAUAAAUGGCAGCUUCAUUUUCAAUUCUUGUUGCUGUAAAUUGUCUGAGGAAUUAUAAGUUGAGAGUGUGAGUUUCUUUGUUGAGUAGGAAGGAGUCUGAGAUUGUAAAUAGUAGACAUUUAAGCUUCAAGAAGGUAAAAAUCUGAUUUUGUGUUCUUAAUUUCUAACUUGAUGAAUUCCUGGAAUUUCUAUGAAAACUUCUGCGAUUAUGGUUGUGGAUUGAUAUAGAUGUGUUUAUUAAGCUUGUUUACAUAUAUGAUGUAAGACCCCGAAUUUUAUGAAAUGAAAGUAUUCAAUUUUCUUAUAAUUAUUAUUUUAUUUCGUAAAUGGUUAAAUUGAUAAGAGGUUAAAGUUAAGGGUGAUAUGUGAAAAUUUUGCAAAGUAAGGAAGUUGAUGUAAAAUAUUCAUUGUGUCGGAGAGUAUUCGUUUUAACAGGGAAUAUUCGUACGACGGCAUAAUCAUUGGUGGACCCCACAACGAAAGUAUUGUCGUAGUUAGAAAAUGACAGAAAUAUAUUUUUAUAAAAAUAACGGCGAAAGUUUUACCGUUAAACUGUUGAACUACUCGGUAGUAAAAGUACAGUAAUACGCGUGGUUGCAUAGUAGCACACGAUAUUGAUUAUUGAUGCUUACUAAAUCACUCAGUUAUACUCAAUUAUUGUUACAUAAUUGCUGCAUCAUAUCUCUCAUAUUAUUGAUUCAAUUAUUGUCACAAUAUCAUCUGCAAAAUAUUUUAUAUUAUUAAAUCAAUAAUUGAGACGACAAAGUUAUUUAUAUUAUUAUUUGCAAUAUUGACAAUGUCUAGAAGUUCUGUCAAGGAGAGGUUUGGUCACCUAAUUGCGCGCCAAUAAGGAGAAAUCCUUAUCGGAAAGCCCCCUCUUUCCUGGGAACGACCUGGUUGUUAAAUAUUGUGAGUUAUAAUAUUAAUAAUGAAUAAGUUCGUGUUGAUUAAAGAUAAAAUUUAUAGUUCCAUUGUGUUGAGAUUAUUAGUGUUAGUGGAAAUCGAUAUUUAUUUCGAUAAUAAUUGAUGUCUGGAAGUUAUAUUAACCAAUCGAGUAAUUAAUCGGAUAAAUUAGUAAUUAAUUACUAUUAAUUCACAUGCUUAAUUGCUAUUAAUUCGCUUGAAAUAAUAUUUUCUUCCAUACUCUAUAGUAUGUAAGUAAUAUUAUUUCAUUUCAGAUUUUGAAUUCUAUACUCAUUUUGUUGAAGUUUUGGCUUUUAUACUCCAUGAAAUUAGUAGAAUAUCUUUGAUAUUUGCGCUUCAUCCAAUAUCUUUUCAUGGAAAUAUUAUUCUGAGCUUUCUUGAUAAUUAUUGAUCUUUUCAUGACGAAGUACUAUUCACGAGUUACUAUUUAUGGGUUACUAUUCACCCGGUUACUAUUCACUCAAAUAUUAUUCAUUCGGGUAUUCGGGACACUUUUCAUGUCGAAGUACUAUUCAUGAGUUACUAUUCACCCGAAUAUUAUUCACUCGGGUAUUUGGGGUACUUUUCAUGCCAGGGUACUAUUCACGAGGUAUUAUUCCUGAAGUACUAUUCACAGGGUACUAUUCACGGGGUACUAUUUACCCGAAAAAUACAUUUUUUUUCUGUCCAAAUUAUUUUUGGUACAUAAAUAUUAUUCUUGAAUUUUACUCCACAAAGCAGUAUCAUGUUGACAAUUUAGAUAUUUUUAAACUCUGAAUAAAUUUAAAGUCUUUAAUAUUUAUCCUUGAUUUCAUUUGAUUAAUGCUUAUAUCAUUGUCAUCAUCAUCAUGCUUAUAUUGUGAUGAAAGUCAUCUUUGGCUUACGUGCAUAGAUGGACUGUUGAUUGGUAUGAUUAUGACAAGGGAUCAUUCGGUAUAAUCAUGACCCCUAAUGUUACAAAUGAUGUGGUAAAAGUCCUCAUUAGUCCGUAGUGCAUUGAUGAACAAUUGUUAGUAUGAUUAUGACCAGGGAUUAUUCGGUAUAAUCAUGACCAUUGAUGAUUACAUGAAUAUAUUUGGCCCGUAGUGUAGGGAUGAUUCGAUGAUGUGGUUUAUUUAUUAAGCUGAGUCUCAACGAUAAAGUUGAUGAAAAACUUUUUAAAUCAUAGAAGAUAGUAGAUAUCAUGCUCUACUUGACUCUUCUAAUGGAGUGCUUAUUCCGCUGCAGUUGUUGAUCUAAAACGUGUUGUCUAGUAUAUUCUAUCAGUUGUUAUACUGUUGAAGGCUAAGGAUAAUUUAUUCUGCAUUAUCUUAGUCAUGAUAUUUCUUACUGGGCUAGUUGAGCUCACCCUUUUCUUUCAUUGUUCUCUUCAGGAAAUGAGAAUAUAGCUGGGAUGAGUCGGGAAAUGGAGUGAUGAUCCAGGAUAAGUGGCUUUAGUAGUCCUCACUAUUCUGUGAAAUAGUGUGAUAAUAAUUGUAAUGGGGACUCCAUUGAGAGUGGAUAUUGUCUAGAAGGCAAUAUUCUUGUUUAAACUCUCAGCUAUGUUUUGUCGUAUAUUACCCGACAGUUGUAUAAUUAAGUUUGUAUUUGAUUUAUGUACCAACUAUCUGGCGACUCAAGAUGGGUUAUGUAUACCUAUUUUGGGGGCGUCACAGUUGGCAUCAAAGCUUAGGGAUAUGAUCCUUGGCUGAGAUGUGAGACUAGAACUAGGAGGGGAGAGACAGGUAAUUCCUUUGCUAGUAUGACCUAUCUAAGUUUAUUUGGUAUUUAAUUGGUCGGUCAGAGUAUAGGGAUAAUAUGUGAUAUGUCAAUUAACCCUUGUUUUGUGACAAUGUUUAAAAAUGGCAUCUGAAAAUGUUGAGAUCAGCAAUGAAGCACAUGAGACCGUUGAGUCACCAACGAUCAAUACCCAGGAUAAUGUGCAACAGGAAGACAAUAAUCCUCAGGUAAAUAACAACACCGAUCAGAUGAUGAACGAUGAGAUAUUCAGAGGCUUUAUGCAAUUCAUGCAACAUCAGGCGAGAGAGACUCCUGUUCAAAAUUCAGAUGAAAAUACUGGCAACUCUCGGAUGGUCAUUGCUAAGCAGUUCAAGGAGCUGGGACCGCCGGAGUUUUUGGGAAAGCCAGAACCACUUAAGGCGAAGACGUGGAUAAAGCAAAUCACCAAGAUAUUUGAUGUCUUGAAAUGCUUAGAGGAACAAAAGGUUCCCUUCGCCACCUUUAUGUUGCGUGAAGAGGCAGAUUAUUGGUGGGAAUCUGUAAAGCGUACCCAGCCUGACGCACUCAAGAUGUCUUGGAAGAAGUUUCAAGAGUUGUUCAACGACAAGUACUUUCCCGAAAGUAUUCGUCACAUGAAGGUGGUGGAAUUCAUCAAGUUGGAGCAAAACAAUAUGACUGUGUCGCAAUACGAGACUAAAUUUGCUGAGUUAUCCCGGUUUGCAUCCUAUUUGGUCGAUAAUGAGGAGCGAAUGACGCAAAUGUUUCUAAGAGGUUUGAAACUCGAUAUACGUCAAUACCUCAUUUCUCGCAAACUUUGUUUAUAUUCAGAUGUUGUGAAUAGGGCUCAGUUAUUAGAGCGCGAUAAUGAGUCAGCACAACCAAAAGGCAACGACCAACAACACGAUAAUAAUCAUACCGGUGGGAACGGCCAUCGGAACAACGAUAACCAUCAUGGGGGAAAUUAUCAUGCCAAGAAUGGUAAACACUUCGGUGGUAAUCAUGGCAAAGAUAAUAGAAGUGGAAAAUUCAGAAAGAGAAGAUUUAACGAUGAUGGGAAGACGUCGGCAGCAGCACCAACACCAAUAACAAAUUCUAGGGGAGGAGAACGACCGCCAGUUAGAUGCUAUAGAUGCGGAGAGGAGGGACACAUAAGUCCAAACUGUUCACAACCUUCCAACGUAUAUUUUAGUUGUGGAAAAGACGGUCACAUAGCUUGAUUUUGUCUUGUUGCGAAAUCAAGUCUAGCUGGGAUGGUGGCACCAAAGGCAGAUACGGACAAAAUAAAGUCGGUGGUUUUAGGAAGAGCAUUUUUCGUGACUUCUCAAAAAGCGAGUAACUCGAACAAAGUUAUCAUGGGUUAGUUAAUCAUAAACUCUUGCGAAGUCUAUACCUUGUUAGAUACAAUUUCUACCCAUUCUUUUAUUUCUCCUACUUGAGCUCAAUGUUUAAAUUUAAAUCCAGAGAAAUUAGACUUUGACUUAUCUGUUGAAACUCUAUUAGGAGAAACCUUAAUUACAUGUGCUAUCCAAGUAUUGGAUGGGAGUCACAGUUUUUAAAUGAUAUUUUUAUCGUUAAUAAAUUUCAUGACGUAUUCUCUGAAGACUUCCUGACCUACCCUAGAGCGUGAAAUCAAAUUUUAUAUUGACCCCAGUACAAAAUCCAUUUCUAAAACCCUUAAAUAUUUCUUCAACCAAAACGAACGUAUAAUGCGCCAAAGACAUUGGCUCGAGUUGUUGAAGAUUACGACCACACCAUUCAAUAUUAUCGUGGAAAAAAUGAACGUGGUAGCUGAUGCAUUGGGUAGAAGAUCGUAUGCGUUUACGAUUGUAACGUUGUUAACACAAAGACCCAUUUCGUAUAACUUACAAAUAAUGAAGAUAGAGUUAAAGACCCUAAGGACCCACGUGGUGAUAUCAAAUAUACGAAUAGAAUCGACUUUAAUCAAUAAAGUUAAAAGUCGUUCAAGCUACAGACCCGGAGCUGAUGAAUACGAAGAGGAAGGUUCAAGAAGGCGUUAUUCUAGAAGCAAGACUCGAUCAAGAGAGGAAAUCUCAACCCUUGAUUUUAUUGGUCUAUUUGAAAUCCUCGAUCGAGUAGGAACUGUGGCCUAUAGGCUCGUUUUACCACCAAGUAUGUUGCAUGUUCAUAACGUUUUUCACGUAUCGAUGUUACGUAAAUAUGUGGACGACCCGAACCAUAUUAUUGAAUUAGAACCGGACGAAAUAGCGGAAGAUUUAACGUAUGAGGAGAUACCUGUUAAAAUCUUGGAUAAGAAGAAUCAUAUUCUACACUCAAAGGUUAUACCUCAAGAGUUAGAAUCUGACGAGGUAUCCUCACCUCUUCGGCAUACCAGGUAUGUACGUAAAUUUCGAGGGCAAAAUUUCAUAAAGAGGGGAGAUUGUAAGACCCCAAAUUUUAUGAAAUGAAAGUAUUCAAUUUUCUUAUAAUUAUUAUUUUAUUUCGUAAAUGGUUAAAUUGAUAAGAGGUUAAAGUUAAGGGUGAUAUGUGAAAAUUUUGCAAAGUAAGCAAAUUGAUAUAAAAUAUUCAUUGUGUCGGGGAAUAUUCGUUUUAACAGGAAAUAUUCGUAUGAUGGCAUAAUCAUUGGUGCACCCUAUAACGAAAGUAUUGUCGUAGUUAGAAAAUGACAGAAAUAUCUUUUUAUAGAAAUAACGGUGAAAGUUUUACCGUUAAACUGUUGAACUACGCAGUAUUAAAGUAAAGUAAUACGCGUGGUUGCAUAGUAGCAUACGGUAUUGAUUAUUGAUGCUUACGUGAGAAAUCACUGAGUUAUACUCAAUUAUUGCUACAAUAAUUGCUGCAUCAUAUCUCUCAUAUUAUUGAUUCAAUUAUUGUCACAGUAUCAUCUGCAAAAUAUUUUAUAUUAUUAAAUCAAUAAUUGAGACGAUAAAGUUAUUCAUAUUAUUAUUUGCAAUAUUGACAAUGUCUAGAAGUUCUGUCAAAGAGAGUUUUGGUCACCUAAUUGCGCGCCAAUAAGGAGAAAUCCUUAUCGGAAAGCCCCCUUUUUCCUGGGAAUGACCUGGUUAUUAAAUAUUGUGAGUUAUAAUAUUAAUGAUGAAUAAGUUCGUGUUGAUUAAAGAUGAAAUUUAUAUUUCCAUUGUAUUGGGAUUAUUAGUGUUAGUGGAAAUCGACAUUUAUUUCGAUAAUAAUUGAUGUCUGAAAGUUAUAUUGACCAAUCGGGUAAUUAAUCGGAUAAAUUGGCAAUUAAUUGCUAUUAAUUCACAUGCUUAUAACUAUGUGUUCACAUGUGUGUACUAUUGAUUCACAUGUAUGUACUAUUAGGGGAGGUAGCGCAAGAUUGAUAAUACUUGUAUGACUAAAUUAAAAAUAAAGGUAUAGAUGAAGGUACUAUCUUGUAAUUAUUUUUUUCACAUGUAUAAAACUAUUGAGUCACAUGAUUGUACUAUUGAUUCACAUGAUAUACUAUUAGGGGAGGUGGUGCAAGUUUGAUAAUACUUGCAGGACUAAAUUAAAAAUGAAAGAAAAAAAAUGAAGGUAUUAUACUGUAAUAUUUCGAGCCCCAAAACGUGCAAUUAUCGAAACUAUAUUUUUCUAUAAAUCAAAGCUCAUUCUUCCUUCAUUCUCACCAAUUCACUAAGACUCAUAAGAGCAAUUAUAGAGAGAGAUGCUAUAUAGAGAGAAGCUAUAGAGAGAUAGAAGAAGAGUAGUCUGCUACUUCACUACUCAAGUAUCUAGUCUUCUUCUGAGGUAAGGGGUAUUAUUUAUUUCAUAUUUUGAAGAGAUAUUAUUUUUCGUAUUCGUAUGAAUAUUAUUUUCAUUCAAUAUUCGUAAGGAUUAUCAUCUUCGUUCAAUAUUCGUAGGAAUAUUAUUUUCGUUCAACAGUCGUAAGGGGUAUUAUUUAUUUCAUAUUCUGAAGAGAUAUUAUUUUUCGUAUUCGUAUGAAUAUUAUUUUCGUUCAAUAUUCAUAAGGAAUAUUAUCUUCGUUCAAUAUUCGUAGGAAUAUUAUCUUCGUUAAAUAUUCGUUGGAAUAUUAUUUUCGUUCAACAGUUGUAAGGGAUGUUAUUUUUGUUCAAUAUUCGCUUGAAAUAAUAUUUUCUUCCUUACUCUAUAGUAUGCAAGUAAUAUUAUUUCAUUUCAGAUUUUAAAUUCUAUACUCAUUUUGCUGAAGUUUUGGCUUCUAUACUCCAUGAAAUUAGUAGAAUAUCCUUGAUAUUUAUGAUUCAUCUAGUAUCUUUUUAUGGAAAUAUUAUUUUGAGCUUUCUUGAUAAUUAUUGAUCUUUUCAUGACAGAGUACUAUUCAUGAGUUACUAUUCAUGGGUUACUAUUCACUCAAAUAUUAUUCACUCGGGUAUUCGGGGCACUUUUCAUGCCAGAGUAGUAUUCAUGAGUUACUAUUCACCCAAUUACUAUUCACCCAAAUAUUAUUCACUCGGGUAUUUGGGGUACUUUUCAUGUCGAGGUACUAUUUAUGAGGUACUAUUCCCGAAGUACUAUUCACAGGGUACUAUUCAAGGGGUACUAUUUACCCAAAAAAUACAUUUCUUUUCUGUCCAAAUUAUUUUUGGUACAUGAAUAUUAUUCUUGAAUUUUACUCCACAAAGCAGUAUCAUGUUGACAAUUUAGAUAUUUUUAAACUCUGAAUAAAUUUAAAGUCUUUAAUAUUUAUCCUUGAUUUCGUUUGAUUUGUUUUCGUUUGAUUAUUGCUUAUAUCAUUGUCAUCAUCCUCAUUCUUAUAUUGUGAUGAAAGUCAUCUUUGGCUUACGUGCAUAGAUGGACUAUUGAUUGGUAUGAUUAUGACCAAGGUUCAUUCGGUAUAAUCAUGACCCGUAAUGUUACAAAUGAUGUGGUAAAAGUCCGAUUUGGCCCGUAGUACAUUGAUGGACAGUUGUUGGUAUGAUUAUGACCAGGGAUUAUUCGGUAUAAUCAUUACCAUUGAUGAUUACAUGAAUAUCCUUGGCCCGUAGUGCAGGGAUGAUUCAAUGAUGUGGUUUAUUUAUUAAUCUGAGUCUCAGCUAUAAAGUUGAUGAAAAACUUUUUAAAUCAUAAUUUAAGAUAGUAGAUAUCAUGCUCUACUUGACUCUUCUAAUGGAUUGCUUAUUCCGCUACAGUUGUUGAUCUAAAACGUGUUGUCUAUUAUAUUCUAUCAGUUGUUAUAUUGUUGAAGGCUAAGGAUAAUUUACUCUGCAUUAUCUUAGUCAUAAUAUUUCUUACCGGGCUAGUUGAGCUCACCCUUUUCUUUCAUUGUUCUAUUCAGGAAAUGAGAAUAUAGCUGGGACGAGUCGGGAAAUUGAGUGAUGGUCCAGGAUAAGUGGCUUUAGUAGUCCUCACUAUUCUGUGAAAUAGUGUGAUAAUAAUUGUAAUGAGGACUCCAUUGAGAGUGGAUAUUGUCUAGAAGGAAAUAUUCUUAUUUAAACUCUCAGCUAUGUUUUGUCGUAUAUUAAGACAGUUGUAUAAUUAAGUUUGUAUUUGAUUUAUAUACCAAAUAUCUGGCGACUCAAGAUGGGUGAUGUAUACCUAUUUUGGGGGCGUCACAUAUGAACCCUUUAUAGAUAGGUUUAAGCAUGUUUAGAAUGAAGGAAUCGAAGGUGGGUUUGAUACUCUGCAGAUAGAGCUCUUUCAUGGUUCUUUUCAGGAAGGGCGCAACUAUGCCCAGUUUGUACUAGGGUGCAGCGCAGCUGCACCAGUCCCCAGAACCAGAUUCUGGCUUCUGUUGUGCUGUGAUAUUUCUAGCCUACAAGUUUGGUUUAGAUAUGCAUGAAAACAAGUAUAAUAUGUAGUAUAAAGCUCUCUUAUAAGAUAUGAAUUGUCCAAGCAUGACCUAGUAGGAAUUCUAUAACAAAAGCUUAAAGUUUUGAAAACAAACUUUGAUGGAACUUGUAUUCUACAAAUUCUGAGCAUGAUAAUAUACAUAUAUGACUUAUUUAUGAACAUAAAUGAGCAUGGG